rnacentral:rRNA from 1 species
UUUUGCGCAAUGGGCGAAAGCCUGACGCAGUAACGCCGCGUGGAGGAUGAAGGCCUUCGGGUUGUAAACUCCUGUCAGGGGGAACGAGGCAGUACAGGGCGAAUAACCCUGGACGGCAGACGGUACCUCCAAAGGAAGCCCCGGCUAAUUCCGUGCCAGCAGCCGCGGUAAUACGGAAGGGGCAAGCGUUGUUCGGAAUCAUUGGGCGUAAAGGGCGCGUAGGUGGUUGGGCAUGUCCGCUGUGAAAGUACACAGCUCAACUGUGUUCCGUCGGUGGAAACUGCUCAACUCGAGGCUGGAAGGGGCUGGUGGAAUUCCCUGUGUAGCGGUGAAAUGCGUAGAGAUGGGGGAGAACACUCGUGGCGAAGGCGGCCAGCUGGACCAGUCCUGACACUGAGGCGCGACAGCGUGGGGAGCAAAC